GAUGAAGAACGCAGCGAAAUGCGAUACUUGGUGUGAAUUGCAGAAUCCCGUGAACCAUCGAGUCUUUGAACGCAAGUUGCGCCCGAAGCCAUUAGGCCGAGGGCACGCCUGCCUGGGCGUCACACGUCGUUGCCCCCCCAUCUACUCCUUCGGGAUUGCGGGGGGCGGAUGAUGGCCUCCCGUGCGCCUCGCCGCGCGGUUGGCAUAAAUGCCAAGUCCUCGGCGACGCACGCCACGACAAUCGGUGGUUGCGAAACCUCGGUUGCUCGUCGUGUGCGGUCGUCGCGCAUCGAGGGCUCGAAAAAAUUGCCGGGUUCCGGCUCGGCUUUCAACGCGACCCCAGGUCAGGCGGGGUUACCCGCUGAAUUUAAGCAUAUCAAUAAGCGGAGGA
rnacentral:misc_RNA from 1 species